GAUGAACGCUGGCGGCGUGCCUAAUACAUGCAAGUCGAGCGAACGGACGAGAAGCUUGCUUCUCUGAUGUUAGCGGCGGACGGGUGAGUAACACGUGGAUAACCUACCUAUAAGACUGGGAUAACUUCGGGAAACCGGAGCUAAUACCGGAUAAUAUUUUGAACCGCAUGGUUCAAAAGUGAAAGAGGGUCUUGCUGUCACUUAUAGAUGGAUCCGCGCUGCAUUAGCUAGUUGGUAAGGUAACGGCUUACCAAGGCAACGAUGCAUAGCCGACCUGAGAGGGUGAUCGGCCACACUGGAACUAGGACACGGUCCAGACUCCUACGGGAGGCAGCAGUGGGGAAUCUUCCGCAAUGGGCGAAAGCCUGACGGAGCAACGCCGCGUGAGUGAUGAAGGUCUUCGGAUCGUAAAACUCUUUUAUUAGGGAAGAACAUAUGUGUAAGUAACUGUGCACGUCUUGACGGUACCUAAUCAGAAAGCCACGGCUAACUACGUG
rnacentral:rRNA from 1 species